rnacentral:rRNA from 1 species
GACGAACGCUGGCGGCGUGCUUAACACAUGCAAGUCGAACGGACAGGCCCUGCUUUUGUGGGGUGCUCGAGUGGCGAACGGGUGAGUAACACGUGAGUAACCUGCCCUUGACUUUGGGAUAACUUCAGGAAACUGGGGCUAAUACCGGAUAGGAGCUCCUGCUGCAUGGUGGGGGUUGGAAAGUUUCGGCGGUUGGGGAUGGACUCGCGGCUUAUCAGCUUGUUGGUGGGGUAGUGGCUUACCAAGGCUUUGACGGGUAGCCGGCCUGAGAGGGUGACCGGCCACAUUGGGACUGAGAUACGGCCCAGACUCCUACGGGAGGCAACAGUGGGGAAUAUUGCACAGUGGGCGGAAGCCUGAUGCAGCAACGCCGCGUGCGGGAAGACGGCCUUCGGGUUGUAAACCACUUUCGCCUGUGACGAAGCGUGAGUGACGGUAAUGGGUAAAGAAGCAACGGCUAACUACGUG